CUUAAGUGGGGUCGGAAUAAGGUUGUGGCUAGGAAGUUCCUGACACCCCAGGGCCAGUGAGUGUCUCGGAAGCCUGUGAGGGGCGGAGACCCGGCUCGGGGAGGUGGAGAAGCUCGGCGGCCGCGGGAGACUAGGGGUGAGACUGCUGUUAGGAACACUCGGUCAGCUGUCCCUUCCCCCACCCGUCCUCUUAGGGGGAGUGGAGAUGUGGGCUCGGAGCUGCGUGGCCCGGGCUGUGCGGAUUCCCUAAGCGCCGCACUUGCGCACAGCCCCUUACGUAACCGUCAGUGCCGGGGAUUCCCUAGAGGGGGGUCAUUCUAUUCAACCAUUAUACACACCCCGGGCUCCUGCCGCCGCGCCGCCGCCGCCUCACAAAAUGGCGGCGCCCAUAGAGGAGACAGCGUCCGCCUCCCCGGCCCCAUUUUGUGGGAGGUGAGAGAUCUGUCAACACGGAAAACCUCUGCUGAGGAUGCAUCCGAGUUUGGAAACCCCACUUAAGGGAUGGAGCCUGGGGGAUCACAUUAAACGGAAAAUGCCAACGACUUCCACCUCUACGCAUUUUUAGUUUUUCAUUUUCUCGAAGGAAGCGCCAGAAGCCUGUGGGGUAUAACUAGAGGGAGAACGGAAAGCUGAGGUGACUGCUCCGGGGACUUGCCGCGGCGCCUUAGUGGCUUUGGUUGCUCUUCCACGCUCCCGGCAGCUGACCGCGAUCUCUUGGAGGGUGUCCUGGGCCACCUCGGCCGCGCCUGUCGUGCAAUGAGACUUUUCUGUAGUUUUAAAAUGCAACAGUCCACGGCCCGGUCGGCACCGCUCGCCUGAAUCGUGGGCUUCGGGAAGCCUGGAGGCUGCUGCUCCAGGAACUCGUGGUCGGCCGGGAACCGGGGAGCUCGGUUGCCAGGAGCGGGCGGUAUUCGUGGACUCCGGCGGCCCUAGCGGGUGGCGGCCGGGAUCCGAGCUGGGGAUGACGGUGCUGAUGGAGCUGAUGGGGCAAGAGUGGGAACGGAGAAGUUGAGAUUUCUGCAGGCUGCGCCUCAAUCACUAAGUUCCACACUCCAUCCUCUGCCGCGCCAAUCCUGGCAUGUGGAUCACCAAGAUAAAAUUUCUGGUCCUGUCUGUUCUUACUGAUGUCCUUUAGAGUUGAUAAAUUUGAUUGCCACUAAUCAGUCUGUAUCUCUUGCAAGAACACCACAUUUAGCAUCGAAGUAGAGUCAGAGUAUAUUUUUUAUGAGAUUGUACUAAAGUAACCUUCUAUUAUAUUUCUUAUUACCAUAUUGCAUUUCCUGUAGUGGGCAGCAUAGAGCAGGUGGAUCCUGGCAAAGUAAUGUUAGAGAUGUGCUGACAGCUUUACAAUAGAUGUUCUCCAACUAAUUUGAGAAGAUACAAAAUAAAAUGUAGUUCGUAGUUUUCAAGCAUUAAUGGAAAGUGUUCCUAUUAAAAAAUUACCAAUAACAGUG